ACGAAGAAAAAUAGGUAGAUGAUGAAAUUGAAAAUAAUUUUAGAAAAAAUGGGUGAAAAUUUGGGUUCUAGGGUAUUUUUAAAAGAAAAAUCAGAAACUGUGAGUUAAAAUAUAAUUUAAGAAAUGUGUCACAUAGGAUGCCCAGUCUACAGCCCCGACGAAUUGGAGCGCGCUGUGUGGCAAGGCACAUUGGCGCGGUGCCAUGCAGAAGGCCACGCUGGCAAUCUGCAUGACCGCGAUCGAACGGUCCAGAUUUGUUUCUGCGCGUGUAGACGGUCCGGAUCUGUUUCUCUUUUAAACACAAUCGUAGGAUCCAGAUCAAAUCAAGAUGAACAGUUUAGAUUCACUUUCUUUUUAAACAUGAUCGGACGGUCUAGAUCAAACACUAUGGACGGUACAGAUUAAAAAGAGACGGAUAUAAAUAUCCCACUUUACACCAAACCCUAAC
rnacentral:lncRNA from 1 species